GUAGCAGCGGGGCGCCAUAGGCCCGAUGGCUGAUGUGGGAGAGAGAGGAGACAAGCAUACAUAGGUACAGGGAAGCAGCGAAUCCAAAUCACUGCAAGUUGUUGUUUGGAUGAUUUGUCCCUGCUAGAGAGGGAGAUGGGAAGAGGAAUAACCUGGAUCUGAGGUAGGUUGAAGAGGAGCCAACCGAUGAACAUGGAUCUGCAAGAAUCAGAAAUUACUUUGGCGGUGGAUGGAUGUUUGCAUCUUAUCUGAGGGUGCAAUGGUAGUCUGUACAUUCUCUCCCCUGCUCUCCUUUGAUUCUCUGUCCUACGAUUGUCCCACUCAUUGGU